rnacentral:lncRNA from 1 species
UCUUUAUGAUCUUUAAUUGCUUUUAUAUGUGCUGCUUCCUUUUUCUUUGCUCUUCCUGAUGUAGGAGACUCUGAGGCUGCCAGUCUCCACCGGGGCAGAAGGAGCAAGGACGUCUUUCAGCGCGCGCAAAGUUUGCUGGAGUUGCAGGACAGAGAUGCACUUGGCCUGGGUGCAGGAGACGGCAGAGGAAUCAGGUCUGCAGGAGUGAUGUCUACAGCCUUUCUGAAACACUGGACCACAGGACCACCCUCAAGCUGGGCGCUCCUUGCCUGUCACCUGGCCACGGCAACCUGCAAGUGUCCUCCUCAGCCAGGGCGCUGGGAACGCACACAGCUCAGCGGAUACGACUGGAGAACAUUUCAAAUUCUGAGGCCCGGAGCUCUGCUGUCACUGAAUUUAAAAGUUUUCCCACGAGGGGAAAAAAAAUUGAGAAGAAAAAGUGUUUGCAGCUGGAGUCUGAAUUAGCAGUUUUGUCUCCUGGGACCGGAAAACACCUGGUCCCUGCAGACUUUCUAUUGAAGUUUGUACAGCUUUCAAAAAUAGACUUGUUCUUAGCUGACUGGCAAGACGUAGUUACAUUUGGUCGUCUUCCGCAGUUUUAUCUAAACCCAAGCACUCACAAUAUUUUUUUUAAGUGGGGAGAGGGGUAGACAAAAUUACUCUGUCUUUGCCACUUUGAUACAGCAGCGAUUCCUCUGUGUUGCUAGAAGCACAGCCUUUACCCUCAGCCCAGAUCCUCUGGAUCAGAAUAGGGAUGAGCACUGGGCCGUGAACCCAGAGCUUCAAGUGGGCUUUGCCUGCCUGGACCUUCCUUCCUUUAUGCUCUUACUCCGAGACACAGGGUCUUGCUAAGCUCUCCAGGCUGGGCUCAAUUUGCAAUCCUGCUGUCCUGGUGAGUGCCACUGUGCAUAGCUCAGCUGGGCUCAAUUUGCAAUCCUGCUGUCCUGGUGAGUGCCACUGUGCAUAGCUCAGCCGCAGGGAAGUUGGUUAAAUGGUUAAAUGGUGUCCAUCCGCUGAUCCCUCUGAAGUGAGCGUGGGAAGGGCACAGCCCCAGCCCAGAGCCAGAGAACUAAUGCUGUGGGUGUCUGCGAAGGGAUCCCUUCCGGUUCUUUUCACACGCACCCCCCCCAUCUUGUCCUUUGGGAACCUAAAUUCUAAGAUUUCAAGGUUUCCCAGUGAUCACCCAGGGGGAGAGGGGACGGAGAAGCCAGCUUGAGUGGCUUUCUGAGGACACGGCCAUUGUUCUCAGUCUGUUUCCCUUCGCUCCCCCAACACUAACAUAGCAGAGUUGAAACAAGAUGGGGACUCGGGGAAGAUGACAUUUGCACCCCCAUCUUUCCAAGGACAGGCUGACAGCUGCCACCGGGUUUAUCUCAGAGCAGCUAACCCGGGCCGGGCAAGGUGUGGCUGCAACGGUUUCCUCCUCCCCGCUGCGCUGUGCACUGGCCUGGCUUCCUGCUCCCCAGGUCUGAGGAGCUGAGGAGCCCGGGCCCAGAAUUGGCAGCGUCGCUCUCGGACCUGCUGAGAAGUCUACUACGGAGCAGAAGAGCCCUGCUCUGCAAGCAGCUCCAGCUGCAGGCAAAGCGCGUUUGUUAAUCUGGGUCUUUCCGAUCCGGGACUCCAGCUGCGAGUGUUCUCCUAAGGGCCGAAGGUAAAGGCCGCGAGCUCUGGAAGAGGGAGGCCAGCAGCUCUGGGAUGACUCCUGAGGGAGGGGCGCCAGAGAGAGUCCUCCCUUCUCGGGCUUUGAUGCGUGCCUUCGCGAAGACCCAGCCCCGCACGUUCCUCCGCCGUUCCCGGGGCCUGAGGACGGUGCCCCGGGGCCUCCGUGGAUGCCCGAGCCGUGGGACCGGCAGCUGCGUCUGUCCCUGCAGAUGGGGUCCGAGUCCCCGGGCCCGGACAAGCGACCGGACGCUGGACUCCCUCUCCCAAACCCAUGUUGCUGCCUCGGGGCGGUGCCGGGAACAGGCUCUGUGAGAAGCUCCGGAGAAAACGGGCCGAGCCCGGAACCUGGACGCCCCCUGGAGCUCGCACGGCCCAGGCGCGCACCC